rnacentral:snRNA from 1 species
GUGCUUGUCUUGGCAGCAUACAUACUAAAGUUGGAACAAUGCAGAGAAAAUUAGCAUGGCCCCUGUGGAAUGAUGGCAUGUGAAUCCAUGAAGCAUUCUAUAUUUUU